rnacentral:misc_RNA from 1 species
AUGACAUAACAGUUCUAGCCCAGAAACACCUCAAAACGUAGAAUCCAACCGAGACAAACUAUUAUUUAAUCACUUCUUAAGAUGAAAAUGCACACGUAAUCUAGUAAGCUGUUUCAAAAAUCCCUACUGAAUAACUGGACCGAGUAUAUAACAAUUCCACUUCCAGGUUCAAUAUUCCCGAUAUUGCAUGAACAAUUAGACGAAUCAUUCUUCCUUCAAA